UACGAAGGGGGCCAGCGUUGUUCGGAAUUACUGGGCGUAAAGGGCGCGUAGGCGGCGUGUCAAGUCAGGCGUGAAAGCCCCGGGCUCAACCUGGGAACCGCGCUUGAGACUGGCAUGCUCGAGUUCGGGAGAAGAUGGUGGAAUUCCCAGUGUAGAGGUGAAAUUCGUAGAGAUUUGGAGGAACACCAGUGGCGAAGGCGACUUUCUGGUCUGUAACUGACACUGAGGCGCGAAAGCGUGGGGAGCGAACAGG
rnacentral:rRNA from 1 species